rnacentral:rRNA from 1 species
UACAGAGGAGCCAAGCGUUGUCCGGAUUGACUGGGCGUAAAGCGCACGCAGGCGGUCGCGCGCGUGGGGUGUGAAAUCUGGCCGCUUAACGGCCAGGCGCCAUCCCAUACGGCACGACUGGAGUGAUGCAGAGGUCGGUGGAAUUGCCGGUGUAGUGGUGAAAUGCGUAGAGAUCAGGAAGAACAUCGGUGGCGAAGGCGCUCUGCUGGACCAUAACUGACACUCAGGGACGAAAGCUAGGGGAGCGAAUGGG